AUUGAACGCUGGCGGCAGGCCUAACACAUGCAAGUCGAGCGGAUGAAGGGAGCUUGCUCCUGGAUUCAGCGGCGGACGGGUGAGUAAUGCCUAGGAAUCUGCCUGGUAGUGGGGGAUAACGUCCGGAAACGGGCGCUAAUACCGCAUACGUCCUGAGGGAGAAAGUGGGGGAUCUUCGGACCUCACGCUAUCAGAUGAGCCUAGGUCGGAUUAGCUAGUUGGUGGGGUAAAGGCCUACCAAGGCGACGAUCCGUAACUGGUCUGAGAGGAUGAUCAGUCACACUGGAACUGAGACACGGUCCAGACUCCUACGGGAGGCAGCAGUGGGGAAUAUUGGACAAUGGGCGAAAGCCUGAUCCAGCCAUGCCGCGUGUGUGAAGAAGGUCUUCGGAUUGUAAAGCACUUUAAGUUGGGAGGAAGGGCAGUACGUUAAUACCUUGCUGUUUUGACGUUACCAACAGAAUAAGCACCGGCUAACUUCGUG
rnacentral:rRNA from 1 species